GUCUACGACCAUGUUACCCUGAACAAGCCCAAUCCCGUCUGAUCUCGGAAGCCAAGCAGGGUCAAUCCUAGUUAGUACUUGGAUGGGAGACCACCUAGGAAGACCAGGUGCUAUACACG
ensembl:rRNA 5S_rRNA 5S ribosomal RNA